GAGACAGCAGUCGCCACGGUAAUACGUAGGUGGCAAGCGUUGUCCGGAAUUAUUGGGCGUAAAGCGCGCGCAGGUGGUUUAAUAAGUCUGAUGUGAAAGCCCACGGCUCAACCGUGGAGGGUCAUUGGAAACUGUUAAACUUGAGUGCAGGAGAGAAAAGUGGAAUUCCUAGUGUAGCGGUGAAAUGCGUAGAGAUUAGGAGGAACACCAGUGGCGAAGGCGGCUUUUUGGCCUGUAACUGACACUGAGGCGCGAAAGCGUGGGGAGCAAACAGGAUUAGAUACCCCGGUAGUCCCUGUCUCUUAUAC
rnacentral:rRNA from 1 species